UGAACGUCGUGGCCCUAGACCAGUCAGCCAGACGCAGAAUGUCCUCCAAACGAGCCCCCGAAACUGCCAGGGCAGUGGCAGCCGCGCCCCUGGCCGAGUGAGCGGUAAAGACCGUCGUAUCAAUCCCGGAAAGGGACAUGACCCACUUCAUCCAACGCGCCAAAGUGGGACUGGUCACCGGACCAAACGGAUUGCAAAAAGAGAGUAACAACUGUGG